rnacentral:rRNA from 1 species
UGCAUUAGCUAGUUGGUAAGGUAACGGCUUACCAAGGCAACGAUGCAUAGCCGACCUGAGAGGGUGAUCGGCCACACUGGAACUGAGACACGGUCCAGACUCCUACGGGAGGCAGCAGUAGGGAAUCUUCCGCAAUGGGCGAAAGCCUGACGGAGCAACGCCGCGUGAGUGAUGAAGGUCUUCGGAUCGUAAAACUCUGUUAUUAGGGAAGAACAUAUGUGUAAGUAACUGUGCACAUCUUGACGGUACCUAAUCAGAAAGCCACGGCUAACUACGUGCCAGCAGCCGCGGUAAUACGUAGGUGGCAAGCGUUAUCCGGAAUUAUUGGGCGUAAAGCGCGCGUAGGCGGUUUUUUAAGUCUGAUGUGAAAGCCCACGGCUCAACCGUGGAGGGUCAUUGGAAACUGGAAAACUUGAGUGCAGAAGAGGAAAGUGGAAUUCCAUGUGUAGCGGUGAAAUGCGCAGAGAUAUGGAGGAACACCAGUGGCGAAGGCGACUUUCUGGUCUGUAACUGACGCUGAUGUGCGAAAGCGUGGGGAUCAAACAGGAUUAGAUACCCUGGUAGUCCACGCCGUAAACGAUGAGUGCUAAGUGUUAGGGGGUUUCCGCCCCUUAGUGCUGCAGCUAACGCAUUAAGCACUCCGCCUGGGGAGUACGACCGCAAGGUUGAAACUCAAAGGAAUUGACGGGGACCCGCACAAGCGGUGGAGCAUGUGGUUUAAUUCGAAGCAACGCGAAGAACCUUACCAAAUCUUGACAUCCUUUGACAACUCUAGAGAUAGAGCCUUCCCCUUCGGGGGACAAAGUGACAGGUGGUGCAUGGUUGUCGUCAGCUCGUGUCGUGAGAUGUUGGGUUAAGUCCCGCAACGAGCGCAACCCUUAAGCUUAGUUGCCAUCAUUAAGUUGGGCACUCUAAGUUGACUGCCGGUGACAAACCGGAGGAAGGUGGGGAUGACGUCAAAUCAUCAUGCCCCUUAUGAUUUGGGCUACACACGUGCUACAAUGGACAAUACAAAGGGCAGCGAAACCGCGAGGUCAAGCAAAUCCCAUAAAGUUGUUCUCAGUUCGGAUUGUAGUCUGCAACUCGACUACAUGAAGCUGGAAUCGCUAGUAAUCGUAGAUCAGCAUGCUACGGUGAAUACGUUCCCGGGUCUUGUACACACCGCCCGUCACACCACGAGAGUUUGUAACACCCGAAGCCGGUGGAGUAACCUUUUAGGAGCUAGCCGUCGAAGGUGGGACAAAUGAUUGGGGUGAAGUCGUAACAAGGUAGCCGUAUCGGAAGGUGCGGCUGGAUCACCU